GCUGUGGUAGAACUUGCAGACCUAAGAAUUCUGUGUGAGGGCCCCCAGAGAAAUUUGCAUCCAGUCCCAUGCUCUCCUGUUUUUCAAAGAGAAGGACACAUCCCCUCCCUUGCUGCUCUCCUGCCACUCCUCAGAAGGACCAGAAGUCCACCAGGAAUAUCGAUCCUUUCUCCUGCAGGCACCUUUGGACUACGUCUCUGUGAUGAAUUGGCUACAGGCAACAGGUUAAUGUUUGACCAGGACAACACACAGGAAAACCAUGUGCAAGACCCUUCCCUUCCUCCUUAUUUGCUUUACAAGGAACCACUGCACCCCUUUGCUGGAAGUGCACCUAUGAGGAAAGGUACAUGUGAGCAGCCAUGCCCUGCCCCUCUCCUUAGGGCUGCAGCCCAGUUCCCAGGCACAGCUGUUGAUGUGGAAGAGCCUUGAGGAACUCCUCUGCACGGGGAUUGAAGGUAACGCAAUUUCCUAAUAAUAUGUAGAAUUCAUUAAGGAUGGCAGAAGGGUCGCAGGUGUCAGGAACACUUUGUCUCCAAGAUUCAGCGCUGUAGGUUUGAGGCAGGUGUGGGCUGUUGCUAACGGUGCUGUGUAUGCAUACAGUGAUGUGCUUGUGCAGUGCGGUAGGGAUAGUAGCAGCUUAUGGACUGUGCUCGAUCUUACACAUUUAAUCCUGCUCUGGUUGCUCUGCUGCAUAUUCAUAACAACAAAAAGGAAACAGAAGCACAGAUGUCUACCUGGCUCUUAAUUGGGUUUCAAGCAUCCCCAGUGAGGCAAAUGCAGCGUUAUUUACAGCCAGGCCCUAAGAAUUAGGUGCAUCUGGAGCAGUGGCAGAACCCGCGCCAGGCUGCGGGCUGAUGGAUGGGUGGAGCGAGGUGCUGCCCUGCUCUGCCCUUCCUGUACCCCCUGCCUACCUGUCCCCACUGUGUGUCAGACCAAACUGAUACUGCCGGAGGGAAUGCUAAUAGAAACAAAAUACACUGGGAAAAAAGAAUUUCUGGUCUUGUGCAGCCACAUCAGCGUUUUCUAAUUGUACAGUGAUGAUAAUAAAAAGGCUGCCCUCUGCUCUCA
rnacentral:lncRNA from 1 species